AACGAACGUUAGCGGCGCGCUUAACACAUGCAAGUCGAGCGAGAAAGGGCUUCGGCCCCGGCAAAGCGGCGCACGGGUGAGUAACACGUAGGUAACCAACCCCCUGGUGGUGGACAACCUUCCGAAAGGAGGGGCUAAUACAGCAUAAGACCACGAUCUCUUCGGAGAUUGAGGUUAAAGCCGGCCUCUUCAUGAAAGCUGGCGCCAGAGGACGGGCCUGCGGCCCAUCAGCUAGUUGGUAAGGUAAUGGCUUACCAAGGCUAAGACGGGUAGCUGGUCUGAGAGGAUGAUCAGUCACACUGGAACUGAGACACGGUCCAG
rnacentral:rRNA from 1 species